AACGAACGCUGGCGGCAGGCUCAACACAUGCAAGUCGAGCGCCCCGCAAGGGGAGCGUCAGACGGGUGAGUAACGCGUGGCAAUCAACCCAUCUCUACGGAACAACUCCGGGAAACUGGAGCUAAUAUCGUAUACGUCCUUCGGGAGAAAGAUUUAUCGGAGAUGGAUGAGACCGCGUGGUAUUAGCUAGUUGGUGGGGUAAUGGCCUACCAAGGCGACGCUCCAUAGCUGGUCUGAGAGGAUGAUCAGCCACACUGGCACUGAAACACGGCCCAGACUCCUACGGGAGGCAGCAGUGGGUAAUAGUGGACAAUGGGCGAAAGCCUGAUCCAGCCAUGCCGCGUGAGUGAUGAAGGCCCUAGGGUUGUACAGCUCUUUCACCGGUGAAGAUAAUGACGGUAACCGGAGAAGAAGCCCCGGCUAACUUCGUGCCAGCCGCCGCCGUAACAC
rnacentral:rRNA from 1 species